AUUGAUCUGCAACAGUGUUGAGAAUACAAAGUUAGAGGUCUAGAGCAGACUAAUUCCAAUUUUAACUCUGAACAACUUUGUCUCUGUUGAAAAUCCACAGAAACGCAAGAGCACAAGCUCUUUAUGUUCAUUCAGUUUUCAUACUAGAUAUACAGGUAUUCUGCAGAAGAAAGACAUAUUAUGUGCAACUAUUGACCAAAACUCACCAGUUUCGUUGAGCCUUAUCAGAAGCUGAUCUCUUGAAGGGAGAGUAUACAUUCCGGCAUAAACGGCGGUCCUGACCGCCCAUGUAUGGAAUGGUGCACAAACUUGAGAAUAAGCUGUUGUAGCUGCGUCUUUUAAAGAGUAAUCACUGAAAAGAACAAAUUGCAGAAUAUUAUUAGAUUGUGCAACCACAGAAAUGCAAUGCAAAUUCAGUUAACGGAUUGGUUUUUAAUGUAUAGGAGGUAAAGGGAGGAACAUACUCAGUUGAUACAAAUUGUUCGAAUAGAGCUCUGAUGAGAUCAA